rnacentral:rRNA from 1 species
GCUCAUAGCGUAUAUUAAAGUUGUUGCAGUUAAAAAGCUCGUAGUUGAAUUUCGGGAUUAGUACGUUGGUCGUGCCUUAGGUACGUACUGGUGUUACUGGUUCCUACCUUCUGACGAACCAUCAUGUCAUUAAUUUGGUGUGGCGGGGAAUCAGGACUGUUACUUUGAAAAAAUUAGAGUGUUUAAAGCAGGCUCGCGCUUGAAUACAUUAGCAUGGAAUAAUGAAAUAGGACGUCGACCCCCUUUUGUCGGUUUCUUGGA